rnacentral:rRNA from 2 species
UGGGGAAUAUUGGGCAAUGGGCGCAAGCCUGACCCAGCAACGCCGCGUGAGGGAAGAAGGUCUUCGGAUUGUAAACCUCUGUCCUUGGGGACGAAAAAAAUGACGGUACCCAAGGAGGAAGCUCCGGCUAACUACGUGCCAGCAGCCGCGGUAAUACGUAGGGAGCGAGCGUUGUCCGGAAUUACUGGGCGUAAAGGGUGCGUAGGCGGCAUGGUGUGUCAGAUGUGAAAUCCCCGGGCUUAACUCGGGGGGUGCAUUUGAAACUGCUGUGCUUGAGUGCAGGAGAGGAAAGCGGAAUUCCUAGUGUAGCGGUGAAAUGCGUAGAUAUUAGGAGGAACACCAGUGGCGAAGGCGGCUUUCUGGACGAUAACUGACGCUGAUACGCGAAAGCGUGGGAGCAAACAGG